rnacentral:tRNA from 1 species
GGGUAUUUAGUUCAGUUGGUUAGAGCAAUCGCCUCAUAAGCGAUAAGUCACUGGUUCAAGUCCAGUAAUACCCACCA